rnacentral:rRNA from 1 species
GCGGUAAUACGUAGGGUGCAAGCGUUAAUCGGAAUUACUGGGCGUAAAGCGUGCGCAGGCGGUUCGGAAAGAAAGAUGUGAAAUCCCAGAGCUUAACUUUGGAACUGCAUUUUUAACUACCGAGCUAGAGUGUGUCAGAGGGAGGUGGAAUUCCGCGUGUAGCAGUGAAAUGCGUAGAUAUGCGGAGGAACACCGAUGGCGAAGGCAGCCUCCUGGGAUAACACUGACGCUCAUGCACGAAAGCGUGGGGAGCAAACAGGAUUA